rnacentral:lncRNA from 1 species
AUCAAUGUCACAUAGAAUAGACGGAGAAGCUACUGCUAAAGGACAGUGGCCAUUCUGUGUGGGAAUGGGGCAAGGGUGGGGCUCAAGUCCCAUCUUGUCUUAUGUAGGACUCAGAGGUGCUCCAGAUGACUAUGGGCUGAGAGGUGCACCCUCUGUAUGCACACUUGGGAACCGUAUGACCCUUAGACUGGCUGGACAGCAAGACUCUUGAGAGCCCCUGUUUCUGCUGACCCAUCUAUGGAAUUACAGGCAGGGGUGGCUUUUAUGUGGGUCCUGGGAUCCAAACCCAGUUUCUGCAGCACCUUAUGAAACCUCAUUGUGAAUGUUCGUGAGUACUUUAUUUUCAAUUAUGCCCUAUGUCCUCCUCUAUACAGUUACCCUAUCUCAUCUCCCUAGCGCCCCCUCCGUGGGUUUUAGUCAUUACAAAGAUGACUCUGGAUCAUGUCUUUAUUUUGGAUGAGACUUUGAAUUUUUUUUUUUUUUUUUUUUUUGCCAGUGACUCUCUAUGUUGCUCACACUAGUGUCUUUACUGGUGAGGCAGCGAUGCAUGCACCAUGCCUGAAUUAGCAGACUUUUUAGGUCAAACUUCCACUCUAGUUUGACAUAGACACUCCUCCCUCACCUAUGGAGAACCUAGGGCCAAGGGAAAUUCCUUUUGCGGAGCAGAAGGUCACAAAGCCGAUCCUGGGGAUGCUGGGCUUAGCACCCAGACUUCUUGCUAUCAUUGGCCAUCCUCUUGGCUUCUGAUGUCAUAAAGUGGGUUUUCUUCUCAGGGUGUGUUAACCCUGGUACAUGGGGGGCAAAGGUCGCCACACACUGUAAGCCCAGUCGGCUACCAUCCCUCUCCCCUCCUUUAACACGUAGGACGAACUUCAGGACGGCGCGAUGCCAUUAUGUCAAAGACUGGCCCACCGCUGCCAGCAGCUUUCAAAGGUUUUGGGGUCUGCAGAGUCCCUGAAGAAUUUUGGCUUGAAGCCCUCUUUCUCCUUCGUUUCUGAAUCCAAUGGUAGAUUAGGCGAAAUGGAAUCCGUAUGGUUCUGAUUCAUUUACACUUAACUCAUCAAAAUGUUCCUUUUUAUGAGCUAUUUGAUGUCCAGAAAGCCUUUUGAGUAGAUUUUAUAAGCCUUUUAAAGACUUUUCUCUUAGAAACAGGCGGUUGCAUUUUGCCAAGAAUAAACAAACUUGAACCUCAAAAGUGCA